GCGCGAGUGGUGGAAUGGCAGACACAUCCGGCUUAGGACCGGAUACCAUAGUGUGUGAGAGUUCGAGUCUCUCCUCGCGUA
rnacentral:tRNA from 1 species